rnacentral:rRNA from 1 species
GAUGAACGCUGGCGGCGUGCUUAACACAUGCAAGUCGAACGAGAAGUGAAGACGGAAACCUUCGGGCGGAAGGCUUUAUUUCGAGUGGCGGACGGGUGAGUAACGCGUGGGUAACCUGCCUCAUACAGGGGGAUAACAGUUGGAAACGACUGUUAAUACCGCAUAAGACCACAGCACCGCAUGGUGCGGGGGUAAAAACUCCGGUGGUAUGAGAUGGACCCGCGUUCGAUUAGCCAGUUAGCGGGGUAACGGCCCACCAAAGCGACGAUCGAUAGCCGAUCUGAGAGGAUGACCGGCCACAUUGGGACUGAGACACGGCCCAAACUCCUACGGGAGGCAGCAGUGGGGAAUAUUGCACAAUGGGGGAAACCCUGAUGCAGCGACGCCGCGUGAGUGAAGAAGUAUUUCGGUAUGUAAAGCUCUAUCAGCAGGGAAGAAAAUGACGGUACCUGAGUAAGAAGCCCCGGCUAACUACGU